GCCGUGAUCGUAUAGUGGUUAGUACUCUCGUUGUGGUCGCGGCACCCCCGUUCGAUUCCGGGUCACGGCA